GGGCUAACCACGAGGAACCAAAUUUGCAAAUGUCUUUUGGUUAUUUGAAGACAAUGUCCGGUUUCCAUCGAUGAUCAACUUCAGACAGGGUUCACUACUAACCGUCGAGUUCCUGGCCCUCCUUAUCGGUCUGUUCAUUUAGUUUGUGCCAGUUGAUGAAGGGCCUGUUAAUGUUACUAUUGGAGCACAGCUAAGCCAGUCAAGAGGCUGACUGACUGUUUGCAUUAGAAUCACCACCCAUCUUUCCUUAAAUCUCACCUUCUAUUCUCAACUUGAAAUAUAUAUGCAUCUCUGCUUUACGUUUUGUCAUCCACUGGUGUGAUUAAACAUCUAUGUUGAUAGUAUAGGAUUUCAUGGUAUUCAAAGUUUCCUGUUUAUAGCACACAUUUGUAUUUACUGUCACAUGAAUUUGGGUGACAACGAUUGAGAUGGAGAGAAAAAUCAUAUCCAAAUUAUGUUUUAACACUAGCAUUACAUAAGCUCACACAGAUUAAAAAAACUUUGCAUAUACAAGUAGAAGAAAUUUCACAAGACGCCUCUUUUCUCCAUGAGCAAAGUCAGUCUUCGCAUCCUAGUUGUUGUUCCAUUCAAUCUCUGUAUGCCCAAAAGAAAAUGAGAGAAAACAAUUAUAAUGAUUAAUGACAUUGUUGGUAACAGGAAAUAUCAUUGUCGAGAAUUCAAGAAAAAACUUGAAGGGAUGCUGGAGACCUGAGGCAGAUAAGAUUAAACGUCCUUGACAACAAGGUCACCAUUGAUAAGCUCUCUGUAGGCAGCAACAGGCCAAAUAAAGCCUCUGAAGAUGAGACCGGUAGCCAAAGGCACAUCGAUGAUGAUCUCCUUCAUGGCUGGCUUCUUGUCAUCGCUUAUAGCAAUAAGGUAGCUCCUUCCGACCCACCCGAUCCAUCCAGCGAUGUACAAGAACAACAGGCCGGGCGUGAUGAACUCACCCCAGUGCCUCUGAUCGCCGCUCACUAUCAAAUGAGGCAACCCAUCGGAGCCGCAGAGCAAGCCGUACUUGCCGUAGUUGUCGAA